UACGUAGGGUCCGAGCGUUGUCCGGAGUUACUGGGCGUAAAGCGCGCGCAGGCGGUUCACUAAGCCCGGCGUGAAAGCCCCCGGCUCAACUGGGGAGGGUCACGCGAUACUGUUCGACUCGAAGGCAGGAGAGGGAAGUGGAAUUCCCGGUGUAGUGGUGAAAUGCGUAGAUAUCGGGAGGAACACCAGUGGCGAAGGCGACUUCCUGGCCUGUUCUUGACGCUGAGGCGCGAAAGCUAGGGUAGCAAACGGG
rnacentral:rRNA from 1 species